GAUCCAGUGUUGGGUAGUGGUUUGCGCAUUGGACUAUGACUCUGGAGACCAGGGUUCAAAUCCUAGCUCCAUCA